UAGAGUUUGAUCAUGGCUCAGGACGAACGCUGGCGGCGUGCCUAACACAUGCAAGUCGAGCGGCGUUGGGAAGUGAGAAGUGCGAAGUAGGAAGUGGGAAUAGAAGAAAUUGGCGAAGCCAAUUUACGAAACCCACAUCAAACUUCUCGCCUCUCACUUCCCGAUGCAGCGGCGGACGGGUGAGUAACACGUAGGCAACCUACCCAUCACACGGGGAUAGCUCGGGGAAACCCGGGGUAAUACCCGAUACCUUUACUUACCGCAUGGUAAGUGAAGAAAGCGACUAAGCGGUGAUGGAUGGGCCUGCGGCCCAUUAGCUAGUUGGCGGGAUAACAGCCCACCAAGGCAACGAUGGGUAGCCGACCUGAGAGGGUGGCCGGCCACACUGGGACUGCGACACGGCCCAGACUCCUACGGGAGGCAGCAGUGGGGGAUAUUGCGCAAUGGGGGAAACCCUGACGCAGCGACGCCGCGUGAGCGAAGAAGGCCUUCGGGUUGUAAAGCUCAGUCAUCGGGGACGAAGAGGACGGUACCCGAGGAGGAAGCCCCGGCUAACUACGUGCCAGCAGCCGCGGUAAUUCA
rnacentral:rRNA from 1 species